GAUGAACGCUAGCGGCAGGCUUAAUACAUGCAAGUCGUGGGGCAGCAGGUUUGUAGCAAUACAGAUGCUGGCGACCGGCAAACGGGUGCGGAACACGUACAGAACCUUCCUUUGAGCGGGGAAUAGCCCAGAGAAAUUUGGAUUAAUACCCCAUAGUAUAAUGAAGUGGCAUCACUUUAUUAUUAAAGAUUUAUCACUCGAAGAUGGCUGUGCGGCUGAUUAGGUAGUUGGCGGGGUAAAGGCCCACCAAGCCUGCGAUCAGUAACUGGUGUGAGAGCACGACCAGUCACACGGGCACUGAGACACGGGCCCGACUCCUACGGGAGGCAGCAGUAAGGAAUAUUGGUCAAUGGAGGCAACUCUGAACCAGCCAUGCCGCGUGGAGGAUGAAGGUCCUCUGGAUUGUAACUUCUUUAUAUGGGACGAAAAAAGGCUUUUCUAAGUCGUCUGACGGUACCAUAUGAAUAAGCACCGGCUAACUCCGUGCCAGCAG
rnacentral:rRNA from 1 species